AUGGGCCCCGCCCGCACGGAAGGUUGCACGGCGUCGACGGAGCGAGGCCCGAGCCGUGGCUCGAGACGUCGCCGGCGUCCUGAUCCGUGGAUCAGAUUCGGUGCAUUCCGGUAGCGCCGACAGUGCACGCAGUAAAUUCAGUAGGUGGGGCGUUGGGUGGUAUGGCAGUGAAGUUGGAUUAGGCAUUCUUCGCAGGCGGCGAGACGGUGAGGAAAUCUACUACGGCGGAGGCGAUUCCGCGUCCGAGGGAGCUCACAGGUGGUCCAGCGGCGAUGCAGCCGAUAAACAGCUACUAGAGGAGGUGAAUGAUAACAACAGCACUAUGGAGCCUGUGCGGUUGCCGGUCGUGGCACCGGCAGAGGUUGAGCUCCCAGCACCUGAAGCUUCAAGUGCGGACGGCCAGAUCUGUCGUGAAGAGGCCCCUGCAGAAGCUGGAAGUGCAGAUAAGGGGCAGAGUUCAGAGCACUCUGUAGAGCAGUUGGAUCCGUGGACCAGGAAAACAUGCUUGGUCAGUUCGUGCGGUUGUCACCUACCUCAAGCGUCUGGUUCCUUCCAUUAUCGCAGGAGGUUGAGCUGGGCGGCAUUGCAUGCAUACGCAGGAGAGAAGGCUAACAGCUGAAGAUUUAAAUUUUGAUGCAGCCGAUUAAGAGAGGAGGUUACUGACAGCGAAUUUCGAUGGGGCCUCUCCACUACCCAGUUAUGGCACCGCCGCACCGGAGGCGGGGGAGCUCCUGCCUAUGGCAGGGGGCAGCGCCACGGGGCAGAUCUGUGCGGCGCAAGGGGCGGCAGAUGCGAAACUGAAGCUUCCCCACAACCUUCGGAGCAGUCAAUUGAGCAGAUGGACACGACACACGACGAGUGAGGAUUGGUGCUGCCGCUCCUGGUAGGACCCCAAUGUCCUGAUCGAGCUACUGUCAUGGAGAGGGCAAUACGUGGAUUUGCUUCAGAUAUUGGAGACAACGCCAUUGUGCCGAAGCUCGGAACAAUAUUCGAUACAUUGGGUGAAGCAUACGAUUUUUACAAUCUGUAUUUAUGGGAGAAAGGAUUUGCCAUUCGAUAUGGUAAAAACUAUCUGAAUGUCGAGAGGACAAAAUGCAUAAAAUAGUGUGUGCCUGUGGGUGGAAAUCUAUUGUGGAUAAUACUAGGUCUUGCCAGCGUUAGUGCCCUACUCUGAUAAGGCUGCUGCGGUCUGAACCAUUCAUUGUCUCGCACGUAUGCGCAGACGAUACACUGGCGAUCGCACAAGCACAUCAACGUGUACAACAGGGAUUUGGUGAAGAAUUUGAGGCAGAGCAAUGUGAACCUUGCUAAAGUGCACAACAUUAGGCAGUUUCUUUGGGUCGAUGGAGAAUGUUCCUUUCACGAAAAGAGCUUUAAGGAACUUGUGUGGCAAAAUAAGCCGCGAGCAAGCGGAUGAUGAUGUUAGUUAAACAAUGGAGGUGUUUGCGGAACUUGGUUCAAAGGAUCCUCACUUCACAUAUCAUGUGCAGGCCGAUAAGGAGGGGAGGGAUAAACGCACUCAUGUGGGCAAAUGGGGACAGUAGGCUGGUGCAAAAAAGAUUAGCUUAUUCUCAAAUUUUCUGUCUCUAAUACUGAAUUUGGUGUGUACCGAUAAAUCAUGUAGCGUGUGAGAUCCAUCAUGCAGUUUAACUGCUAAUCCCAAUUAUGUUAUGCAUGCCCUGAAGCUGAUGAA